rnacentral:snoRNA from 1 species
CCCAGCAGUGAAAGUGCACACUGCCUGUGCCCUGGUCAUUGAUAGUGCAGGGAGAGGAAUCGCCGAAAGCCUUUCCCCGUGUUUGGAGGGUCCAAAAAAAAAACAAACAAACAAACAAACAAA